AACACUCACGGGAAAGGUCUGCAGCUUCACUCCUGAGCCAGUGAGACCACGAACCCACCAGAAGGAAGAAACUCCGAACACAUCCGGACGUCAGGAGGAACAAACUCCGGACACGCUGCCUUUAAGAACUGUAACACUCACUGCUAGGGUCCACGGCUUCAUUCUUGAAGUCAGUGAGACCAAGAACCCACCAAUUCCAGAUACAAAAGAAUGUAUUUGUUUGCGA
rnacentral:lncRNA from 1 species